UUCUCCCUCUCUCUCCAGUAAUCUUCCAUGCACCAGGAGCAAGAAACCCUAGGAUUUCUUGCCUCCAGUCCAUAAAAGGAAAGAAAGGAAGGGAGGCGCUAGCCCCUACCCCCCUUGCAGCCGCCAGCCAUUUCUUCUCUCUCCUCUCUUGCAGGCAUCCAAACACCAGGUCCAGGACCUGAAAUCUCUUGAGAAGAGGUUGGUACAAGUUCUUCUUAGAUUUGGAGUUGAUCUAAGAUCGUUUGAGGCACGGGUGAGAUCUCCAUCAACAGAUCUACAAGAAAGGCUGCAGCAGGACAGAUCUGCGAGGUCUGUCUCCAUCUAUCUUCU
rnacentral:lncRNA from 1 species